UCGAAACUGAGAGGAGGUGUGAAAAAUAUGUACUUUUGCUGUCAUAAUUGUCUGGUUGUUUUUGGAUAACAUCUCCGGAUUAAGCACGCAGAACUAUGCCCCUGUUUGUAAAGACGUUGUCGCAAGCGACUUCCAUUUAGACCAGAAACAGAUUUUAUAAACAGUUGGUUUUUUUUGUUUGUUUUUUUUUUUUUUUUUUCAACAGGUGCCCAAUUCUUUCACGGGCAGAUGAAGGCAAACUCCCUCUUGCGUCAUUGAGUGAAGAAGAAAGCUUUACAGAAGAAGACAACGUUAAAAAAAGGCUUAUUAACAAAAUAAGGGAAAAAGCUUACCCAUCAUGAGCAAACAGGAACGAAGCGUUUGCGUGCAGCUGCCCAGUAAAGAACAGCUCAACACUGCAAUAGGAGUGAAAGCUACGGGUCAUGAACUCUUCAGCCGAGUGUGUGAUUGUUUGAAUAUCAAGGACCCGCACUUCUUUGGUCUAAGUGUUGUAAAGAAUGAUGAACACAUAUUUAUUGACUUGGAGCAAAAACUCACCAAAUACUUUCCAAAGGAAUGGAAGAAAGAAACUAGUAAAGGAACAGGCAAAUGUGGUCCACCUUUCCUUGUCUGCUUCCGAGUUCAGUAUUAUGUGGAAAAUGGAAGAUUAAUAAGUGACAAGGCAGCGAGAAGAUAUUACUACUGCCAGGUGAAGGAGCAAGUUCUGAGGUCUGAGUGCACUCACAAGGAGGAAGUGUACUUCCUCCUGGCAGCCUACGCGCUCCAAGCUGAUCUGGGAACCUACAAGAACAAUGUGCAUGUGGGAAAAUACUUUGAGCCUCAAGCUUACUUUCCACAGUGGAUAAUUGCGAAAAGAGGGUUCGAGUACAUCUUGAAACACACUCCAGAAAUCCACAGCGAGCAGCAGGGACUGACAGCCAGGGAGGCACUGCUGAAGUUCAUCAGAGAGUCCUGCCUGUUGGAAGACGUGCCAGUCCAUUACUACAGACUCCGCAAGGAUAAGAAAGAGGAAUGUGCCUCCAUUGUGCUGUGGCUGACCCUGAAAGGAAUGCAUAUUUAUCAGGAGUUAAACAACAUGCGUCAGUUGCUGCAUGACUUCCCUUGGUCAAACGUUGGCAGACUCACUUUCCUGGGGAAGAAGUUUGAGAUCCAGCCCGAUGGUCUUCCCUCCGCCAGGAAGCUGGUCUAUUACACAGGCUCUGCUUUCAGAUCCAGACACCUCCUCCAGCUCCUCAGCAACAGCCACCGACUCUACCUGAAUAUCCAGCCAGCGCUCAAGCAAAUCAGAGGGGCUGAGGAGACCCAGGAAAAGAAGCUGUACCAGGAGUCGUACAUCAGCGACACCCGGGAGAUGGACCUAGACCCACUGGACAAGUGUUCCCAAGGUAGCAGGAGAAGCAAGGGAAGGGCCCGCAACAACCGGCUCUCCCGCCACUCCACCAGCAGCCAUGGCAGCUCCGGUAUCGAAGCCGACUCCCGGCACCACAUCUCCGUGGAGAUGGCCGUGGACGAGCCCUUCUCUAUCGAGCCUGCACACAAGUCCAUGAAGUCCUUUAGCUCCGUCAGCCACGGCAGCUCAGGCAUCGAGAUGGGCAGCAAGGACCGGGCAGAGGACAUUUCGCAGGACGAUGAAGUGGAGCUGGCUGUAGACGACCCUCAAGAAAUGUCCCGUCUGGCUGAGCUGAUCGAAGGUGUGUCUGUGGACUCCCCCGAGUUUAACCAGCAGUUCUACUGGAAGGAUGUCGACAGUCAACCUGUUAACACAUCUGAGUCACUGGUGAAAUUACAAAGCAUAGAUUCUCUUGAGCAGGUCGCAAAAUUGAAACCUAGGAACUCUCCAGACAGGAACAGCCAGAGUUUAGAUGAUGUGCAACUUUAUCAGCAGACCCCGGCCCUAAGUGCCUGCUUGAAUUCAGACACCUCUCAGAGCUACACGUUCAGCUGUGGAAACCAGAAGGAGGCUCAGUGCUGCUAUUCCUACUCCCCUGCGGGAUGUCAAACCAAGCCAACGUUCUACUGGGAGAGGUCUAUGCACUGCCUUUCACCGGACCUGCUGGGGGAUGAACAGCUGCUCGAGUUUGUUGUCUAAAUCGAGGGACAGACAGCCGCGAUUUUGAAUUCCCAGGACACUUCGGAAAAAUCAUGGCCUGCAACUGAUAUAAGGCUUGGGAAAGUGAUGUCAGUGUGUCUUACUGCCUUUGUGCUGUCAGUGGAGGAAAUGUUGCCUGAGGAACAGAAGCAUUAUGUGUGAAGGAUGCUAUUUAUCCAGGGCCACACAAAUAUCCAGGGCCACACAAACAAAGGAAAUCCCUAUAUACCUCAGAGCUAACUGAACAAGAACUGAACUUUGUUGAAGGGUGUUUUGUACAGAAAUGAAGGGAAGAAAGGAGCAAUGAUUAACUAUAUAGUGUAAGAGAAAGAAGGCAGCAACUGGUAGUGAUGAAGAAACAGGUUGGACUAAAGGUUUGAAUACACACUGUAAUAUUUUUUAAGCCAUCUUUUGGACAAUAGCAAACGGCAUCCCCUAGUAGUUUAACAAGCAAAAUUUUACAAAAUUGCAUUGUGUAUGUGACUAAAUUAUGUUUAUACAGCUUAACAUUUGGACAGUAAACUAGUGUUUAAAACAAUUCCUGCUUACUGUAAAGUUGUUAAGGUAUGCCUACACAGUGAUUUCAGGUAAGUUAGUCCAAGAUUAGUACUGACCAGGCCUAUUAAACAGAUGAUUUAUUCCAUUUGUUUUUAGUACCAUAGAUUUCUUUUAUUUAUAAUAAUGGUCAUUUUGUUAUCUGAGACAGUGUUUUGAUUGAAAUUUGCUUAUCGAACAAGUAAACCAAUUUAGCUCUGCUAUAUAUAGAAUAUAAGAUAGGGUGCUGCACAGUGCAAUAUUAUACAGCUCCACAAGAGGGCGGAGUGGUUGUGUUCAGCACUCCAUUGUAUGCUGUAAUGUACUGUGGUAACUACAAUCUGAAUCCCUAUUGUCAUUGCCAUGCUAAAUAAGCCAUACGAUGGUAAUACAUUUUAUACAGUUGUAUCACACUGAAAUCUGUGACCAACAACUAUACAUUUAUAAUCUAUUUUCUUACUUAAAAUGUGAUUUCUCAUGCCCUUCUUUAAAUGCCCUUGACCAGUGAACGGUGGCAGUGUUGUUUUGGAGUUUGUAUUAUCAGUUCAUAUUGCUUUACAAUUUGUUAUUUAGUUAUUUAUUUAUGUUGAAAAAUGAAAAGGAUUAAGCUAAUGAAAAUAAAUUGCCAUCAUUUUUGUUCAAAUCUAACACACUAGCGAACGCCAGUAUUAAAUGGAAAAACUGUGCUCCUGUGUAUUAUAUGCAACUUUUCUAAACAUUUUUAAGCAUUUAAACUUGUAAUACUUUUGUAUGUAGACCAUGGUUUUGUAUCUCAUAUAGAUGAAUUGCACACAGUCUUUUAGAACAUGCUAAGGAUUACAGUUGUGUGUCUGUAAUGUAUAUAUUCCAUUGCAUCAAGAACUAAGGUUCUCUCUAUACAUUUUUCUCCUUUCAGUGAAAGCAAACUUGGUGAUGCCAUGCCCGUAUAACAAAAGGUAGAUCAAAAAACAGUUUCAUUUAUUACAUUAACGUCACCUGUUUGCCAGCCUUCUCCAUGUCCGCUCUAUUUUUUUUUUUAAAUUGAAAUUAUUUUGCAGGCAUGAACAAGUUGAUAGAACGUGACUAUCUUUUUAAUUAUUAUUUGAAUAACACAUUUGCCUAGAUUAUGGUGGUGAGGACUAGUCGUUACCAAAGCAAUCUGUAAUCAGCGAUGGGAAAACCACUCUCACUUACUGAGUUGUGGACAGACUCCUCUUGCACAGCUGUUUGAGCCAUUCUGUGAACUAAAUUAGUCACACUCGAGUUUUUCAUUAAUAUAAAUGAUAUCUGGUAGCAUACUAGUUAAAGAGAGCAUGGCUUUGUCACAAGUGACCCCAAAACCCUUCCUCCCUUGUACCUCACACCUUUUGAAUAGAAGACCUAUGCUGCAGAGGUGUAUGGCCCAUUGAUAAAGCCAACUUAAUUUCUCUGGGAAUUUCCCACUGAAGAUGGAAGUGAGGGUGAAACCUGGAAACCUAUUGAUAUGAAAAAUAGUGAGUUCUGGCCGACUCAGAUAUUUUGGAUGGAAGGACCACCAAAUAAAAUAACCAUAUGUGAUCAGCAAGAAAUGCAUACACAUAAUACUUAUCUCUCCAGAACUUUCACUUCUGACGGGAGCCUUUCUCUGAAGAGAGGACAAGACAGACAUACACCCAGCUUGGAUUGUAGAUGUCAAAGGUGCAAAACUAAACUGCCCCAAACAGGACCACAGACCAGCCCUCCGUGCACACACAUCAUUAAGCAUUGCAAGAUAAUGUUUGAAUGUAAUGAUGUACAAGGUGUGUCAAUCUCUCCUUUGAAUCCAAAAAAUACUAAAAGAAUUGAAUGGCUGAGUUGUGAUUCAGUUCAUCAAGUUAGAUGGGAUCAUUUUGGAAAACUAGAAAGCUCAGAUGAAAGUCUGACUACCAGGGUUCAAGUGUUUUGCAGGUAUCAGGCUUUCAAAAGUCUGACCCACAUCUGCGACACUUGGAGAUGGAUUCCAGAGCCAUAUUACCUUUACAGAUCCCCUGAGAGCAGAGCCUGACACAGACUUUCAGUCUUGCUUGGAGCAGACUGAUAUUUGGGAUGUGAAUUGGACAAUGUGAUUAAAAAGACUGUGUUACCUGUAACAAUGUUAGAGGCAAUAAUAAUGUUGAAUAUUGUAAAACUCUGUACUGUGUUUAAAGGAUGCUAAAGCAGAAAUAUGAUUGCAAAUAUUAUACCUGCUAGCACUCAGGAACCCACGCAAAUCCCCUCAAACGUCAUAACGUUUGUAUACUGGCUGGCUCAUCAAUCCUCUGCUCUAUGCCAUGCUCUGCAAGCACUUCCAAAAAGCCCUCACAAACCUGCACCAGAAACAGAAAGGAAAGACGAGCAGGCACACAGGGGAGCACCAAGUGCAGAAAAUUCACCAUUCCACCAAGCUGAGAGGUGCUUCUAUUAUCACAUGGUUUGCCUUGGCAGGUGCUGCAACUUCUCCAGCGCUCUCCGUUGACUGUUUUGUACCAGUGGGGUGCAAUGAUCACUUUCAUAACUAUCUACCUGAGGUGCUUUCCAAACAGCACUUGCAAGUUCAUAAAAAAUGUUUAGAAAAUGAAAGACAAGGUUUGCCACCUGUACAGCAUGUGAAAUCCCAUCAAUUUGUGUUUAUGGAAAAAUAACAGUUAAGGUGGAACAUGAGAAAUGCUUGGCAGGAAACUUGACAUUUAUGGACCACAUUGUUAUUUUUUCCACUUUAAAGAGCGAUGUGGUAUGGUUA